CAACAACCUUUCUAGGCCAGACAGGGCUGUCCUUGGAGUAACUUUGACUUCAUCACACUCCUGAAGAACCCAGAAACCUUUGACAUGAAACAUUCAAAUUAGAAAAAUACCUGCACAGGAUGGCAGUUUGAAAAGAAAUCACCUGUAAAGGGAAAAAAAGACAAGCUGGCGUUGCCACGCAGAAGGACUGGAGACUGCACCCAGAACCUCACACAUGAUGGGCAAGCGCUCUGACGCUGAGCUCCAUUCCCAUUCCUCAUGGGCGUGUUGCUGAUCAAAGCGCCACAUCCCUCUUUGGGACUGCAUUGUGGGUGCAGGACACUAGGAGAUGAUUCCUGGGUGGGACCUGUCCCUCCACAUCUCCCUGGAGAGGCUGAGGAACGAGAUGCUUGGUGUGUCCACCAUGUCUGUGACUCCUGACCCCCGAACUUCACCCUGUAGCUCUGCCUGUACUUCUCUAUGGCCUCUUGGCACUCAGGGUAGCAGAGGAGAUAUUUUAGGCCAACUUACCUGGCAUUCAUUUCUUGGAGGCUAAGCUCCAAGUCAUUCUUUUGUUGUUUUGAAAUAAAGUAAAAUAUAUAAGCCCA